GACGAACGCUGGCGGCGUGCCUAAUACAUGCAAGUCGAACGCUGAAGAGAGGAGCUUGCUCUUCUUGGAUGAGUUGCGAACGGGUGAGUAACGCGUAGGUAACCUGCCUUGUAGCGGGGGAUAACUAUUGGAAACGAUAGCUAAUACCGCAUAACAAUGGAUGACACAUGUCAUUUAUUUGAAAGGGGCAAUUGCUCCACUACAAGAUGGACCUGCGUUGUAUUAGCUAGUAGGUGAGGUAACGGCUCACCUAGGCGACGAUACAUAGCCGACCUGAGAGGGUGAUCGGCCACACUGGGACUGAGACACGGCCCAGACUCCUACGGGAGGCAGCAGUAGGGAAUCUUCGGCAAGGGGGGCAACCCUGACCGAGCAACGCCGCGUGAGUGAAGAAGGGUGUCGGAUCGUAAAGCUCGGUUGUAAGUCAAGAACGAGUGUGAGAGUGGAAAGUUCACACUGUGACGGUAGCUUACCAGAAAGGGACGGCUAACUACGUG
rnacentral:rRNA from 1 species